CUUGAAAGAGAUCGCCGUCCGACAAACUGCUAUCAGGAAGGGACCAAGCACGCGCCCCCAAGGGCCCCCCGCUUUGAGGAUCUGUGUAGCGGAUGUGUUGUUGCCUAUCUUCACCACCCGGGGGCAACCUGUCAAGAAGUCCAGGAUCCAGUAGCAGUGGGAGGUUUUCAGUCCCAGGGACAUUAGCUUAGUGAUGAGCUUCGAGCUGUAGUCAAUGAACAGCAUUCUCAUGUAGAUGAUCCUUUUGUCCAUGUGGGAGAGGGCAGUGUGGAGUGCAAUAGAGAUGGUCUCAUCUGUGGAUCUGUCUAAGAAUUGGAGUGGAUCCAAGGUAUCUGGGAUGAUGUUGUGAGCCAUUACUAGCCUUUAAAAUCUUUUCAUGGCUACAGAUGUGCGUGCCAUGGGGCGAUAGUCUUUUUAAAACAUGUAGGUAUUACAGACUGGGUCAGAGAGAUGUUGAAAAUGUCAGUGAAGACACUUUCCAGCUGGUCAGCGCAAGCUCUGAGUACGCGUCCUGGUAAUCCGCCUUGUGAAUGUUAACCUGUUUAAAGGUCUUACUCAUCGGCUAUGGACAGCGUGAUCACACAGUCGUCUGGAACAGCUGGUGCUCUCACGCAUGGUUUAGUGUCGCUUGCCUCGAAGCGAGCAUAGAAGGCAAUUAGAUCAUCUGGUAGGCUUGUGUCACUGGGCAGCUCGUGGCAAUGUUUCCCUUUGUAAUCUGUGAUAGUUUGCAAGCCCUGUCACAUCCGACAAGCGUCAGAGCCGGUGUAGUAGGAUUUGAUCUUAGUCCUGUAAACUACAUUAUGUUGUUGUUCAAAACAACAAGCGAAUCAAAGCUCUUGAGUCAUCGGCCAUAUUGAACAAAUUAUCUGAUCUCAUGCCUAGUUAUUGGCAACAUCUGUUGGAGGGUGUAUGUCUUAGGUAUGAUCAAGCACCAAGAUUAUCUGAUUUGUUUCAAAAUUAGGCAUUGCAAUCAUCCAUACACUGUGAGUCAAGGUACAGAUCAAGCCUAGUUAGCAGACAGAGAUCAUCUUCGGGACAGGUCUGUCUGUCCAUCUAUCCAUCCAUCCAUCCGUCCACACUUAUCUGGAAAAAAUGAUUGACAGGUUGGGUCUUUAUUUCCCUGGGGAUUAGUACCCCCCCUCCAAGCCCCCUCUUACCCCCCAAUUCUUC
ensembl:lncRNA